GCAGCGAGGAGAAGCUUGCUUCUCUGUCGGCGAGUGGCGAACGGGUGAGUAUAGCAUCGGAACGUGCCAAGUAGUGGGGGAUAACCAAACGAAAGUUUGGCUAAUACCGCGUAAGCUCCAAGGAGGAAAGUAGGGGACCUAAAUAAGGCCUUACGCUAUUUGAUCGGCCGAUGUCGGAUUAGCUAGUUGGUGGGGUAAUGGCUCACCAAGGCAAUGAUCCGUAGCGGGUCUGAGAGGACGAUCCGCCACACUGGGACUGAGACACGGCCCAGACUCCUACGGGAGGCAGCAGUGGGGAAUUUUGGACAAUGGGGGAAACCCUGAUCCAGCCAUGCCGCGUGUAUGAAGAAGGCCUUAGGGUUGUAAAGUACUUUUGUUAGGGAAGAAAAGCUAGUUUUUAAUAAAAAUUAGUGAUGACGGUACCUAAAGAAUAAGCACCGGCUAACUACGUGCCAGCAGCCGCGGUAAUACGUAGGGUGCAAGCGUUAAUCGGAAUUAUUGGGCGUAAAGCGAGUGCAGACGGUUACUUAAGCCAGAUGUGAAUCCCCAAGCUUAACUUGGGACGUGCAUUUGGAACUGGGUGACUAGAGUGUGUCAGAGGGAGGUAGAAUUCCACAUGUAGCGGUGGAAUGCGUAGAGAUGUGGAGGAAUACCGAUGGCGAAGGCAGCCUCCUGG
rnacentral:rRNA from 1 species